GAUGAACGCUGGCGGCGUGCCUAAUACAUGCAAGUCGAGCGAACAGACGAGGAGCUUGCUCCUCUGACGUUAGCGGCGGACGGGUGAGUAACACGUGGAUAACCUACCUAUAAGACUGGGAUAACUUCGGGAAACCGGAGCUAAUACCGGAUAAUAUAUUGAACCGCAUGGUUCAAUAGUGAAAGACGGUUUUGCUGUCACUUAUAGAUGGAUCCGCGCCGCAUUAGCUAGUUGGUAAGGUAACGGCUUACCAAGGCGACGAUGCGUAGCCGACCUGAGAGGGUGAUCGGCCAAACUGGAACUGAGACACGGUCCAGACUCCUACGGGAGGCAGCAGUAGGGAAUCUUCCGCAAUGGGCGAAAGCCUGACGGAGCAACGCCGCGUGAGUGAUGAAGGUCUUCGGAUCGUAAAACUCUGUUAUUAGGGAAGAACAAAUGUGUAAGUAACUAUGCACGUCUGGACGGUACCUAAUCAGAAGACCACGGCUAACUACGU
rnacentral:rRNA from 1 species